rnacentral:rRNA from 1 species
CACUGCCGAGAAAAGCCUCUAGAUAGAAAAUAGGUGCCCGUACCGCAAACCGACACAGGUAGUCAAGAUGAGAAUUCUAAGGUGAGCGAGCGAACUCUCGUUAAGGAACUCGGCAAAAUGACCCCGUAACUUCGGGAGAAGGGGUGCUCUUUAGGGUUAACGCCCAGAAGAGCCGCAGUGAAUAGGCCCAAGCGACUGUUUAUCAAAAACACAGGUCUCUGCUAAACCGUAAGGUGAUGUAUAGGGGCUGACGCCUGCCCGGUGCUGGAAGGUUAAGAGGAGUGGUUAGCUUCUGCGAAGCUACGAAUCGAAGCCCCAGUAAACGGCGGCCGUAACUAUAACGGUCCUAAGGUAGCGAAAUUCCUUGUCGGGUAAGUUCCGACCCGCACGAAAGGCGUAACGAUUUGGGCACUGUCUCAACGAGAGACUCGGUGAAAUCAUAGUACCUGUGAAGAUGCAGGUUACCCGCGACAGGACGGAAAGACCCCGUGGAGCUUUACUGUAGCCUGAUAUUGAAAUUCGGCACAGCUUGUACAGGAUAGGUAGGAGCCUUUGAAACGUGAGCGCUAGCUUACGUGGAGGCGCUGGUGGGAUACUACCCUAGCUGUGUUGGCUUUCUAACCCGCACCACUUAUCGUGGUGGGAGACAGUGUCAGGCGGGCAGUUUGACUGGG